rnacentral:rRNA from 1 species
UGGGGAAUCUUGCGCAAUGGGGGCAACCCUGACGCAGCCAUACCGCGUGAGUGAUGAAGGUCUUCGGAUUGUAAAGCUCGUUCGGCGGGGACGACGAUGACGGUACCCGCAAAAGAAGUCACGGCUAACUUCGUGCCAGCAGCCGCGGUAAUACGAAGGUGGCGAAUGUUGCUCGGAUUCACUGGGCGUAAAGCGUCUGUAGGUGGCUUGUUAAGUUAGAGGUGAAAGCCCCGCGCUCAACGUGGGAACUGCCUUUAAAACUGGCGAGCUAGAGAGUAUCAGAGGUAGGCGGAAUAACGGGUGUAGAGGUAAAAUUCAUAGAUAUCAGUUGGAACAGCCAGGGCGAAGGAAGCUUACUGGGAUAUUUCUGACACGGAGAGACGACAGCGUGGGGAGCAAACAGG